CUAUUCUUGACUGGACCAAAAUAUCGUCUAGAAAAAGACUGGACCAAAAUAUCGUCAAGAAGGCCUCUAGCACAGCUCUUCUCCCCUGCUUUUCAGUGGCAGCACCAUCGCAUGCGCUCGUCGCUGGCUCGGCUGCGUACCGCCGUCAACCAUAGCUUCAGCGGAUGGAAGAUGUAUGCCGCAGCGUCUCUCCCGAUCUCUUUUUCCGAAUGGAUUUGAGGGAGCCUUCAGCCCUUCACGGGUAAAAUCCCUAAUUUUUGUGCAUCUCACAUGAGGAACUUUUUCUUGGAUCUGCUACAAAAUAGAUUGAGAAUUGGGGACUAUUCAUCAGAGGGAUUAGAGUUGGUAUCGUGAUCUUCUGGAAGUAUGUGGUAUGAGAGAGAUGAUGUUAUAUUUAGUAGAGUUGAUAUCCAUUGCCAAAUGAAAAAGGUACGAUCUGUAUUUUUUGCUCUCAGAAAUUACUUCUAAGUUUAUAUAAAUAUUAAUGUAGAAAGAACUUAUGUGUACAAACAUGAUAGAGUUAGUUCACGGAUACAGAACUGAUGAACAGAAAUUUAUAUAUUUUAUUGAAAGAUUAAAGAUCCAUAUGUACACAUACAUUUAUUCGCUCGAGGAGGCUAAUGCCUAUGUUUUUAGAGAGACAAAUUGAGGAGAUUUGGGGAAUCGGAAACUAUUUGUGAGAGAGAUGUGAGUGUUAGAUUGUGAGAGAUUAGUAAUGGCUAUUUAGGGGAAUUAAUUGGUGAACUUUCUAUAGAACGUUUUUAAAAGAUUUGGAUUUUGAGAUUAACCGUGAAUAUAUUUUAGUUGUGGGUCGUGGCUAUAAUGUGGGAGAUUGCGAAAAGCUUAUUGUAGGUGGAAUCCAUUGGUGAUUUCAUUGUUUCAUCUGUUGCGAUAUUUUUUGUGUUAAAAAUAUUCAAGGAUAAAUAACUAAUUUUAAAUUUAAUAUUUUACAGAAAGAUCAAACAUAUAUAUCUAUGGAUUAAUAAUUAUUUAAAAAUUUAACAUGCCAACCAAGUAAAUGUGUUGUUCAAAAUGUAUGGUAAGGUUGUCUGUGACUCUAUGUAAUUAUACAUGAAUUGUCUAAUGACUUGAGGAACUGCACUAUCAAUUAAAAAAUCUCUUUGUAAACAAUAUUCUUUGCGACAUCUUCGGUUGGACACUCUUCGUCAUCGAUCAGCACCUUCAAUCCUUCCUUGUUUGUCACUCUUGAUAGUGCCACAUAUAGUUGUCCAUGGCAGAACACUUGCUUAGGCAAAUAUAUGCCUACCUUGUUUAAGGACUGACCUUGGCUCUUGUUUAUUGUCAUUGCGAAGCACACUAAUAAUGGAUAUUGCCUUCUUUUUAGCACAAAUGGCCAUUUUGAGUCGCUUGGUGACAUGAUGAUUCGAGGAGCAUGACCGGCAAACCUACCUUCAGUUUUAACUUAUGGUCUGGUAUUCCUGGGGACGUUAAGGUGUUGAGGAGCUCAGUAGGUUGCAUGUUCAUCAUGAUGUUGGUAUUUGUCGUUGCCUUGCACACUGUGCCCAGGCUUAGGUAUGUCACCUCUUCACCUUGUAUUUGGCUCAUUAUGUGGUCAUUUAUCUCCUUGACUGUAUCAUUUCUUGGACAUAGUAUUGCUCUUUCUUCUAGGUAAUCCCGCUCACGGUAUUUUUGCAGCAAAUUUGGGUAUAUGCUUUUGACGAUUUGUUCUUUACGAUUUUCUCCUUUCUCUAGCAGUAGGUCUUUUGGUAUUUUUAUCCAAUCCUCUCCUUCAUCUGAUGUUGUUUUGCCAUCGCCAAUCUGUAGUAUCCACUCUACAAAUUCAGCGACCUUUUGCUUUUGUAUUGGAUCAUCUGACAAACACUUCAGCCGCAUGUUUUGUGUUAACUCAAAUAUUUCAAAGUGUUUCCAUAGAUAUGACCUUUUGAUUGAAGCAUUUACUAUCUGCUCUCUCCUUCCUUUGGUUAUAACUGGCAGGAUUUGUCUGAAGUCGCCUCCUAGUAUAACUGUCAUUCCACCAAAUGGCUUUUCAUCGCUGUUUUCAUUAGUGAACCUUAGAAUAUCUCUCAGGCUUUUGUCUAGUGCCUCGAAGCAGUGUUUGUUUGCCAUAGGAGUCUCGUCCCACAAUAUAAGUGAGGUCUUCUUUAGCAGUUCAGCCAAAUGCGAGCCUUGUUUUAUUUCACACGUUGAUUCUUCAGUGAUAUUAAGUGGAAUACGGAACCUUGAGUGUGUUGUUCUUCCACCUUGGAGAAGCAACGCUGCAAUGCCACAUGAUGCUACCACAAGCACUACCUUCCCCUCUGAUCUUAGCUUUGUCGUUAUUGCUUUCCAUAGAUAGGUUUUUCCUGUGCCACCGUAGCCUUCGACAAAUAUCUGCUUUCCUAGGCCUUUGUCGACUGACUCCAUUAUUGCAUCAUAGGCCUUUUUCUGGUCUUGGUUAAGAUUGUUUAGUAUGAUUUUGUGCUCAUCCUUGAGUUUGUCCAUGUCGUAGUUGACCUCUUCGUUUAUUAGUCUGUUCCCAAGUUCUUCUAGCUCUGCGGCAUUUGGUAGUUCUAUGUCUAGAUAGUCCUUUAGUGACUUUCCUACUUGCCUCAUCAGUUUUUCUAUCUCAAUCAGACCAUACGCUUUCUUCUGUGUGUUUGUAAGCCAAAGUGUUGGAAAGUUUAGAAUAGUCCUUUUGUAUUGCAUAUCUUCACACAAUGCUUCCCAUGUUGAAUCCCACAAUACCUUUGGGUUUGUGACUUUGCAAUGGGACAAUAUGGUGGUGAAUAACUGACGCAGUUGUGUUCCGGAAGCCCAACUUGAUGCUUCAUUGAUACAGUCAAUCCACUCAGUGUCAUCAUCGAGAAAUCCGAGGGCUUGGCAUGCUGAUUUGUAUGUUGGGUGAAUGACUCCAUCAACGGUCCUAAUGUCCUCAAAUGAUGCGCAUCCUUUCUUGGUGUUUAGAAGCAUCCUCAUAUGAUAUCUCUCGCCACUUGCGCGACGUGCAUAGUCGAUUCUUCCAAUUGCGUAGUCCCUUUUUCGCUUCUGCCAACAUUUUGUUUCGCUUUUCCAUACAAACUUUGUAGGGAAUUCUGCAUAAGUCAAUCCUUUUCCUAGAUCAUUUAUUUUAUUUGCCUCCAUCCACUGAGUGAACUUGGUGAUUUUAGAUUCGUCCCUUAUUACUAUCUUUUCAAGAUCAGUGGAGUCUGGAAAAACGACUUGUUGCUCAUUUUCAAGAUGGAAAGGUAGCCUCUCAACUGCUGGAUCGCGAUACUGAAGAUCAAACUGAAAUAUCCUCCAGCAUGCUUCUGAUGUUGAUAUGUAUCUCAUCUCUAGGUAUUUCUUGAUCUCGUCAGUUUCGUUUGCCGUGCCACUUUCCUUCUGCAAGGCUGUAACAUGGUCGUCAUCUUUAUGGAUAUACUUAAAUAGGUACUUGAUUGAUCUGGACCUAUUGCACCACUCAACAUUUAUGUGAGCUUGAUACUUGACCAGAAGGUUCCGGUUGUAUGGCACGACAAAUCUGUUGCCCAGCAUCACCCCUCCCUUUUUGAUCUGCCUUCCGUCAUCCCUCCUUUUAUAUGCUGGAAAUCCGUCCUCGUCAAUGGUAGUGCUGACAUUGUAUCUUUUUGGGAAAUGCUUGGUGCAUCUAUGGUCCACCAUGCAUGGUGAGUUUUUCUUAGCCUCUCUGCACGGGCCAUGCAUGAUGAAGUUCUCAACAGCUUCAAAUGCCUCUGGAUCCUCAUCCUUGUUUGGGAUCUCAAUGCUUAUUAUUUUGUCGAUUUGCGAUGGUUCCGGGUACUUGUCUUUGUCCUUCAAAAAUAUUAGUAUGUGCGCAUGCGGGAGUCCUCUCUUCUGGAAUUCUAUUGUGUAGAUGACUGCAGUUGAUUAAUAGUUUGUCAGAUUUAGCUUAAAUUGGAAUGCAUGUUACUAAAGAGCUAGAAUCUGACGGAGUAUAAGAUGAUGCAUGUUUCUAAAGAGCAACAGUCUGACGGACUAUAAGAUGAUGCAAGAAAGAGUAAAGAUUGAUAGUCAAUGGGACUUACUUGCAACUAUUUCUCCAAAGUAUUUCUUUUCUUUUAUGUCUCUCAUUAGCUCCUUUAGUUUGAUCAUAAAUACUUUGUCCACAAUGUCUGGCCAAUCGGCUGGCUUUUGGCCACCUCCCGCUUCAUCUAGCAUGUAUUGGAUCUCAGGCCACUUUGCAUUGCAUGUGAAUGUUAUAAAUAGGUCUGGGUAUCCAGCCCAACGGCAUAUUGCAAAGGCAUCUUGCAAAUAUUGUGCCUUGUUUCUUCUACCACCUAUAAAAGAUGAAGGCACAAUUAUCCUCUUUCCAACUUGCUCUGUUCUUGUGUCCCCUCGCUCAAUCGCAUCCUGCAAUCCACUGUAAAGUUCAGUUCGUAGCUUUCCUUGAUUGUGUCGGAUCCAGUUUAGUCUAUUUUGCUCGAUACAUGUGUAUACAUCCACCCAAAAUUGCAGUGAAAAAUGCCCGGACUUGAGUAGUAACAUUCCUUGAUCAGGACGUUGCUGUAGGUAGAAUGCAUAGUAGUCCAACAGCGUUACAUAUUUCCUGCUGUUUGUAUCUCCUUUUGUUUUCUUGUAGGGUAUCUCAAGUUUAAAACCAUCUUCUCCAUAUGGGAACAACAACGGAUAUUGCAUGGACAUGAAUUUUGGGUGGAUCUCUGAUAUCCUUUGAGGCUCCAUAUUUUUGUACUCAACAACAAUGUCACGUCCUUCACUCUCUCCGGUUGGAUCUCUUACUACCAAUGCUGCAACUUCAGAUGCGGAUGGAAGGUUGUGUGUUCCCUUCCUUUUGCCUAGUAUCCGAAGUGUGUAAUCAUGGUAGUCUCCUUCUUGGAAUCUAUCUCUUGCCAUUCUGAAUGUUUUUGCGAGGAUGUUGUUGUCAUCGAGCAUUAUUUUCAGUUCUUUGACGAUGUUGGGGUCCACUGUUGAUUUUUUAUCAUUGCAUCUUGACGCACUUAUCCUGUUUUCCACCUCAUUUUCAGUAUUAUAGAUGUAUAGUUGUGCAAACCGAGGUUUGUCUGUACCUUGAGGCAAAGGAGUUCCGAUAUGGUGGUAGUUUUGUCCAUGCAAACAAAAAACAUAAGGUCCUUUGCGAGUGUUUAUUUCCUUGUCCACAGCUCCUCCCAUCGAUGUGAAUGAAAACAUUGAGUUGUAUGACCUUAUAUUUUCUUUGAAGUUUACUGAAUCCUGCCCUUCACUUCUUAAGAGGUUUCUAAGGUAUGGUGGAGGUUCUCUUAGUGGCGGCAGAUCGAUUUUCCCUUGUUUGCAGCAUAUUCCAAAAGAGGGUGAUGUAGUUCCUUUAUUUGAAUUUAAUCUUUCUUCACACCAUAGCAAUGCUUUGCAAUAUUGGCAUUUGUAUGUUGGCCUUCCGAAGUUCCAUGGCUUGCUAUUAGCACUUGUCGAGGUUCUGGUUCUGUUGUUGUCUCCAACAUUGACUCUAGUGUUGUUUUUGUUGGUUUCGCUUCUGGCGCGCUUCAGUUCCCUAUCUUCUUCAGCAUUAGCCUUUCUCAAUCGUUUAGGAGCCUCUAUGUUCGCAUUUCUUCUUCCCUCUGCAGUCCUUGUCCGCUUUGUACUCCUUGAGUUUAGAGGUUGUUCUUUCUUUCUUUUUGUCUGGUGAGCUGCUGGGUCUAACAUAUGUUGGACUCUCAUAUCUGCAAAUGUGAUUUCGUCAGUGCGUAUAGUUUCCUUAACAUAGUAUCAUGUAAUAUGAUUUAUUUUGUAAUCCCUCCGUAAAGAAAUAUAAGAGCGUUUAGAUUACUAAAGUAGUGAUCUAAACACUCUUAUAUCUCUACAGAGAGAGUACUUAAUAGUGUUUUGCUUUUGCAGGCAUGCAAGUGCAUUUGGUGAUGACUACUAAUGGACGUUGUCACAUACAGUACAUCUGGAGAUUAAUGUUGUUUAUCUGGUAGGGAACUAAAAAUCAAUAAUUGUUCAACCAUGUUGCUCUUUUUGUAGCUUUCACAUUAUUAUCAUGGUAGUGUUAGGAUGCAUGAAAAAAAAGAGCUUUAUAGUUCAGUAUGAGAAGAGUUUUGACGCAAUGUUGAGCUGAGAUCAAAAUGCAGGCACACACAUGAAGAAUUGCAUCGGGAUAUUACCUGAGGCUGAUGGUGCUGAUGUUGUGUCUUCAGUUCGUUGGAUGUUUCUUUGUGCCUAUGAUCGUUUGGGUGUCGCCGGCGUAUAUUGGAUGCAACUUGCUGGAGUUGUUGCCAUACCUUCAAUUUGUCGGCCGUCUCGUGUGUGUUUGAUCUUCCCGACAUCAUGAAAAUGUAGCUAUUGAGAAAGUGCAUCAUGGGUCAUUUAUGAAUGUAUGUCUUGUAAAAUUAUGGUUUAAUGAUGUUUAUGUGAUAUAAGCAGAGGGAUGAGUGUAUGUGACCAUACCUCUUGUUUGUUUUCUGAGACUAUGAUCUAGCAAUUUGACUAAUGUAGAUCACCUGAGGAGAAAGUUUUUGUGAGAA